GCUCCCUGCAUCCUUAGCAUCCAACGAGCUCCAGGGCAACCGGAGAGGAAGUGACGUGACCGGCACCGGAAACGGAAGCGGGACGCGGGUCGGCACCGCCGCCAUGUUGUGUGUGGCGAAUGAGGGCUGAGGUGUGCGCCCUGGGCUCGGAGCUCCAGUUGUCCCCCGCGGAGAUGGUGAAUCCUCCCUCACUGUCCUUCUGUCCUUCUGUCCUUCUGUCGAGGAUUCACUGAGCUCGCUGGUGCCCGGCACCGCGGGUGCGCCGGGAAUCCGUGAACAGGAGCGACCCGGCGCUUUCCCUCCUGAGUUUGGUUCAAACCCAGCGGCGGACGCGGGAGCACGAAGCCUCUAAUACGUGGGCGCCGCUGGUCUCGGGCGUCUCCGGAGGCUCGUUGGACUUAGGCUGCUCGGGUGAAAGCCUGAGCCGGACGCCUGUGCCCUGGGUCCCACGGACGGGGAUGAGAGCGGAGCAGGAGCUCGGGGAGACUGCCUGGUGGAGGGAGCGUGACCUGCGAAGGAGGCCCCGGAGGGCCCCCGAGAGCGCCUCUCCCCUCCUGGGGGCGCUGGAAGAGGAGCCGGGAGCCUCGGGAGGAACCCCGGGAGAGGGUGGGGGAGAGGGUGGCAUCGCAGACGGCGAGGGAGGAGCCCGUCGGGCUGUAGGCUGGAUCCGUCUUCUUGAGAAAUUAGGUGAAGGCCGAGGAAUGGCAGGCCCUACACCUGCGCUGCCAUCAGCCAGGGCCGCUCCCAGCCUGGAGGAGUUGAGGACCAAGGGCGGCAGAUGGCGGGAAAAUGGACACAAAUGAGCAUGCACAGGUCUUCCAGGAAAUCACCUGGGAGGAAACGAGAAGGACACUGGGAGGAAGAUAUUAUUAUUAUUUUUAAGAUUGGGGAAAUAUAAGUUUGUUUAGAUACUGAUGAGAAGGAGCCAGAGAUUUUUUUUUAAGAUUUUAUUUUUUUCAUGAGAGAUACACACAGAGAGAGAGAGAGAGGCAGAGACACAGGCAGAGGGAGAAGCAGGCUCCACGCAGGGAGCCCGACGUGGGACUCGAUCCCUGGUCUCCAGGAUCAGGCCCUGGGCUGAAGGCGGCGCUGAACCACUCAGCCACUCAGGCUGCCCAGGAGCCAGGGAUUUUUAAUGUUGAUCAGCCCAUGACCAAAUGGAUCCAUGCCCAAGAAUACUUUAUGAAGAGGAAGAAGACAGGAUGGGAGGAGAGGGGCCUGCGGAGGACAGCUGGAAGGACUCCCCUCAGGUAGUGACCCUGAGACAGGAAGAUGGAAGGGGGGCAGGCCCAGGUAGAGUCAUAGGAUCUGUGAUGUUGAGCAUGUUGUGCACUUCGCAAAUCCAGGGGGCACUACUGCCUGCAGCAAUAGUAACCGUGACUGUUUGGGGGCAGAUGAUAGUAAAGAGCUUUGAGGAAAGGGUGCUCCUUCCUAAUUCACACAAAGUGGCCACAGCAGCCAUCGGUAGGGGAAGUCUGGUGCUGGAAGUUGAGGUACCCUACGUUCACUGUAUGUAUUCGGCCUGGGAAAAAGAGGUGAAAUCAUCCAAGGAAGGGAAUCGAGCCUCUGAAAGGUUUGUGGACAGUGGAGAUGUGCAUGGGUGUUGAGGGGAAGGCGGAGAAGAGCAAGCUGAUUUUAGCCAUUUAGGUCCCAGACAGAUAGGUCUCUAUCAGCGGUGGAUGAAAUCACCAGUGUUCUCCUCUCACUAUCCUGCAUUUCUGGCAAACAGAGGUAGCUUUUGGCUCCUGGUAUAAUGUCUGGGCAGGCGAAUUGGAAUGAUCUAAAUUUUGCUGAUCCUCUUGUGUCCUACUGCAAACCUGUUUUCCAUUUCUUGUGAAGGACACUGGGCAGCUGCCCUUAUUUUACAUCGAAAUUUGUGUGUGUGUGUGUGUGUGUGUGUGUAUGUGUGUGUGUGAAAAUGGAACCAGAGGCCAGCUUUUAAAAAUGCACCAGGGCUGCUUCUUCCAAGAAGAUGGUGUAGAUAUACCCCUCGUUCUCUCACAAAGUAUAAUGAAAAAUGUGUAUAAAACAAGCAUAAGACUGUGGCCUUUUUGAGCACAUUAUGGAGCUACGCUAAUCAAGACAGCACAGCAUUUUCAUAAGUAAUGUGCAAACAUGAGUGGGAAGAAUAGUGAACCUAGAAAUAGACCCACAUAUAUUUAGUAAAUUGAUAAAUAUUACAAAUCACUUCAAAGGGAGAGGGUAUAAUGUUUAACAAAAGAUGCUGGAACAAUUGGACAACCAUAUGCAAAAAAGAAACAGAGAAGAACAUUGACCCUUAACCACAUACAAAACAAUUCAAAAUGAAUCAUAAGCCAAAACAUAAGGGCUUGAACUAUAAAACUUCUAGAGGAAAACACAAGAGAUUUUAGUGUGUUUGUGUUUGGUUAAGUAUUUCACAAAAACUAUGAACACUUGAAAAAAAUCAAUAAAAUGGAAUUUGUUUAUAUUUUUUGCUCUUCAGAAAGCCCCAUUCAGAAAACGAGAAAUCAAGCCACUGAGAUAGUAGUUGCAGAACACGUAUCCAACAGAAGACUCCUAAUACAGAUUUUUAAAAGUUUACAACUCGCAAGACAAGAAACCAAAUAGAAAAUGGGCAAAAUAUUUGAACAGCUACUUCACCAAGGAAGAUACACAGAUGCCAAAUAAGUCCAUGAAAAGAUGCUUAAUAUCUUUAUUCAUUAGAGAAAUGCAAAUUAAAACCACAAUGCGCUAGGAACACACACCUAUUAGAAUGAUUAAAAUUAAAAAGACUGACGAUGCCAAGUGCUGGAAAGCAUGUGGAAUAAUUAGAGCUCUCGUUGCUGAUGGGAAUGUCACAUGGUACGUUUUCCAACGGUACAAAAUGGAAAGCAUGUUGGCAGUUUCUUGAAAAGCCAAACAUACAGCAACUAUAGAACCUCACCGUUCCAUUCCUAGAUAUUUACCCAAGGAGAAUGAAAGUGUAUGUCCACCCAAAGACUUCCACACAAAUGUUCAGGGCAGGUUUAAUAGCCUCAAACUGGAAACAACCCAAAUGAUAAAUAAUAAGGGAAUGGAUAUACCCACUGUAGAGUAUCCCUAUGAUGGGAUACUACUCAGUAAUAAAAAGGAAUGAUGGGUUGAUAUACCUACCAACGUGAAUGGAUCUCAAAAUAAUUGUGCUGAGUGAAAGAAUCCAAACGAGAAAGAAAAAGUGCAGACUUACAGUUAAAUAAAAUUCUAGAAAACUCAAGCUAAUCAAUAGUGACAAAUCAGCUCAUUGAUCAUCCGGGAGUUAGGAGAUGGGGAAAGGUAGGAUGGGGCGAUUACACAGGGACACAUGGAAACUGGGGGUGGUGGAUAUGUUCAUUAUCUUAAUCGUGAAGGUUUCAUAAGUGUACACAUGCAUCCAAACCUAUCAAGUUGUACAUUUUUAUAUGUUCAGUUUAUUAGAGGCCACUCUAAUAAGCUUUAAAGAGAACCCACUGCUGAGCUUCA